UACGUAGGGUGCAAGCGUUGUCCGGAAUUAUUGGGCGGAAAGAGCUCGUAGGCGGUCUGUCGCGUCUGCUGUGAAAACUCGGGGCUUAACCCCGGGCCUGCAGUGGGUACGGGCAGACUAGAGUGCGGUAGGGGAGACUGGAAUUCCUGGUGUAGCGGUGAAAUGCGCAGAUAUCAGGAGGAACACCGGUGGCGAAGGCGGGUCUCUGGGCCGUAACUGACGCUGAGGAGCGAAAGCGUGGGGAGCGAACAGG
rnacentral:rRNA from 1 species